CAAUAGCGUAUAUUUAAGUUGUUGCAGUUAAAAAGCUCGUAGUUGGAUUUCGGAUGGGAUUUGCCGGUCCGUCGUUACGAUGUGCACUGGCCAGUCCUAUCUUGUUGUCGGGGACUAGCUCCUUGGAUUCACUUCCUGGGACUAGAAGCUGACGAGGUUACUUUGAGUAAAUUAGAGUGUUCAAAGCAAGCCUACGCUCUGAAUACAUUAGCAUGGAAUAACACGAUAGGACUCUGGCUUAUCUUGUUGGUCUGUGAGACCAGAGUAAUGAUUAAGAGGGACAGUCGGGGACAUUCGUAUUUCAUUGUCAGAGGUGAAAUUCUUGGAUUUAUGAAAGACGAACUUCUGCGAAAGCAUUUGUCAAGGAUGUUUUCAUUAA
rnacentral:rRNA from 1 species